rnacentral:rRNA from 1 species
UCCUCUGAUGUUAGCGGCGGACGGGUGAGUAACACGUGGAUAACCUACCUAUAAGACUGGGAUAACUUCGGGAAACCGGAGCUAAUACCGGAUAACAUGUUGAACCGCAUGGUUCAACAGUGAAAGACGGUCUUGCUGUCACUUAUAGAUGGAUCCGCGCCGCAUUAGCUAGUUGGUAAGGUAACGGCUUACCAAGGCAACGAUGCGUAGCCGACCUGAGAGGGUGAUCGGCCACACUGGAACUGAGACACGGUCCAGACUCCUACGGGAGGCAGCAGUAGGGAAUCUUCCGCAAUGGGCGAAAGCCUGACGGAGCAACGCCGCGUGAGUGAAGAAGGUCUUCGGAUCGUAAAACUCUGUUAUUAGGGAAGAACAAAUGUGUAAGUAACUAUGCACGUCUUGACGGUACCUAAUCAGAAAGCCACGGCUAACUACGUGCCAGCAGCCGCGGUAAUACGUAGGUGGCAAGCGUUAUCCGGAAUUAUUGGGCGUAAAGCGCGCGUAGGCGGUUUUUUAAGUCUGAUGUGAAAGCCCACGGCUCAACCGUGGAGGGUCAUUGGAAACUGGAAAACUUGAGUGCAAAAGAGGAAAGUGGAAUUCCAUGUGUAGCGGUGAAAUGCGCAGAGAUAUGGAGGAACACCAGUGGCGA